UACGUAGGGUGCAAGCGUUAAUCGGAAUUACUGGGCGUAAAGCGUGCGCAGGCGGUUCGCUAAGUCCGAUGUGAAAUCCCCGGGCUUAACCUGGGAACUGCAUUGGAGACUGGCGGGCUAGAGUAUGGCAGAGGGGGGUAGAAUUCCACGUGUAGCAGUGAAAUGCGUAGAGAUGUAGAGGAAUACCGAUGGCGAAGGCAGCCCCCUGGGCCAAUACUGACGCUCAUGCACGAAAGCGUGGGGAGCAAACAGG
rnacentral:rRNA from 1 species